rnacentral:rRNA from 1 species
CAGUCGCCGCGGUAAUACGAAGGGUGCAAGCGUUAAUCGGAAUUACUGGGCGUAAAGCGUGCGUAGGUGGUGGUUUAAGUCCGUUGUGAAAGCCCUGGGCUCAACCUGGGAAUUGCAGUGGAUACUGGGUCACUAGAGUGUGGUAGAGGAUAGUGGAAUUUCCGGUGUAGCAGUGAAAUGCGUAGAGAUCGGGAGGAACAUCAGUGGCGAAGGCGGCCAUCUGGGACAACACUGACGCUGAGGCACGAAAGCGUGGGGAGCAAACAGGAUUAGAGACCCCCGUAGUCCCUGUCUCUUAUAC